CGGAAUCUUCUGCUGAAAAUGGCAAACUGGUAGAGUGCCAGAAGAGGCCAUAUAACAUAUCUCAGUAUUUGGUAACAUUAAAUGGAUUUCACUGAUAUAAUCAAAUUUCUAAACAUGAAGCCGGGAAAUCAUGUCACAUGAGGAAUGGUUGAAACAACCAUGAGUACUGAACCUGAAGAAGCAAGGACUACUGGGUAGACUCUACACCUGUCUUGAAAGAUACAGGGAAGCAAAUUUCAGCUUAACGUAAGGAAGCACUUUCCAAUAACGAAGGUUGUUCAAAAACAAACUGAGCUGUUUCAAGAGCAACGGGCAUCCUGUCACAGGAAUAUGUGGAGCUGGGUUUUGCAAUAAGUUAAAUUCUGGAUGAAAGCUUGCCCUGGAUCAGUGGUUCUUGGACUUUGGGGUUUCAAGGACCAGUAACACUGAAAAAAUGCAUCAGGUCCCUAAAGUAUUGCUAUCUUUUUAUUACCUAAGGUCAUAAAAAAAGGU
rnacentral:lncRNA from 1 species